UACGUAGGUGGCAAGCGUUAUCCGGAAUUAUUGGGCGUAAAGCGCGCGCAGGUGGUUUCUUAAGUCUGGUGUAAAAGGCAGUGGCUCAACCAUUGUGUGCAUUGGAAACUGUUAGACUUGAGUGCAGUAGAGGAGAGUGGAAUUCCAUGUGUAGCGGUGAAAUGCGUAGAUAUAUGGAGGAACACCGGUGGCGAAAGCGGCUCUCUGGACUGUAACUGACACUGAGGCUCGAAAGCGUGGGUAGCAAACAGG
rnacentral:rRNA from 1 species